UCAUUUAGGACUUCGGUGGGGAGGGGGAAAUGAGCGCUAAUAAAGCAGGCUGUUUGCAUGGGAUCGCCAUGGAGACAAGGGAAGCAGAGUCAUAAUUAAACGCUUUCUGCCCACCAGAAGAGUAAUUCUAAAUGUCUGUUGGUGGUGACUCAGUGAUUUCAGAUCGUCAGAAUCUAAGCAGUGUUGAGACCUUUAGGAAAAAAAAAAAGAAACAAAUAGCUACAUCACUUUGAUGUGAUGUGAUUGCACGGAAAGGCAGAACAACAAGCUGGAAGCAAAGGCAGGAGCAUGGAAUAACUCAGUAGCUGGCUGGUUCAAAUAUCCUUAGAUGCUGAUUUUUGAGACGUCCUCACACUCACAGUCCUGACUAAUGCCAGCAGAAGCUGCAAUUACUCCAAGCCUUGAACAAUAAAGGCUUCAUGAUAAA